CUUUUUUCGAUUCUGAAGAAACAUAAAUUCUUUUAUUAUAUUAUGAGAGGAAGGUUGUUAGGGUUAUGAUUUGUUUCUGAUCCUUUUUUGCUUCUUUUUCUUUAGAUCUUUUUAAUUCUCCCAUAUUUGUUUGUUUCGGAAGAAACACAAUUUCUUCCGAGAAAAUUUUAUAGUUGAGGAUUCUUAGUUUUAGGUUGCCAUUCUUCCUUUCGAUAUUUUUA